rnacentral:rRNA from 1 species
UACGUAGGUGGCAAGCGUUGUCCGGAAUUAUUGGGCGUAAAGCGCGCGCAGGCGGUCCUUUAAGUCUGAUGUGAAAUCCCGUGGCUUAACCACGGGCGGUCAUUGGAAACUGGGGGACUUGAGUGCAGAAGAGAAGAGCGGAAUUCCACGUGUAGCGGGUGAAAUGCGUAGAGAUGUGGAGGAACACCAGUGGCGAAGGCGGCUCUUUGGUCUGUAACUGACGCUGAGGCGCGAAAGCGUGGGGAGCGAACAGG